CACGUUGACAACGACGUUAUACGGUGUCGAGCAUAACGCCCAUGUACCUUCCGAUAUCAGCGAUGGACCACGAUAAAGCCACUUGAUCUCAAGUACGAGAGAGAUGGACUAACAAUGAAUAAAAGGCACCCAACACCAGGUUCUCCAACACCAGGCAAAAAUUCCACACUGAAUGGCAUCAUUCAUUUGCAACAGAGUGGCACUUUGGUGGAUCGCACCAAUGUUGUGCUUUUAUUAUAUUACUUUUUUGAAUUUUAACUCUUUUAAAGUUUUUCUUACUUUCAUUGCAUCUUAGUAAACGUUAGAGAGAAAAAAAAA